rnacentral:rRNA from 1 species
AGAUGCAUCUUGCUGCAAUCUUCUCUGGCCUUCAUUGGUCGGCGGGAGGGAACGGCUCGUUUACUUUGAGAAAAUUAGAGUGUUCAAGGCAAGCUGUCGCUUGAAUAUGUUAGCAUGGAAUAAUGAUAUAGGACUUUGGUCUUAUUUCGUUGGUGGUUAGGGACCGAAGUAAUGGUUGAUAGAGACAGUUGGGGGCAUCGGUAUUCUAAAGCGAGAGGUGAAAUUCUUGGACCUUUGGAAGACUAACUACUGCGAAAGCAUUUGCCAAGGAUGUUCUCUUUAAUCAAGAACGAAAGUUGAGGGAUCGAAGACGAUCAGAUACCGUCGUAGUCUCAACUAUAAACUAUGCCAACUAGGGAUUGGUGGACGUUUGUUUUCGACUUCGCCAGCACCUCAUGAGAAAUCAAAGUAUUCGGGUUCCGGGGGGAGUAUGGUCGCAAGGCUGAAACUUAAAGGAAUUGACGGAAGGGCACCACCAGGAGUGGAGCCUGCGGCUUAAUUUGACUCACACGGGGAAACUUACCAGGUCCAGACAGUAGUAAGGAUUGACAGA